rnacentral:rRNA from 1 species
UACAGAGGGGGCAAGCGUUGUUCGGAAUUACUGGGCGUAAAGGGCGCGUAGGCGGCCCGCUAAGUCGGACGUGAAAUCCCUCAGCUUAACUGGGGAACUGCGUCCGAUACUGGAUGGCUCGAGUUUGGGAGAGGGAUGCGGAAUUCCAGGUGUAGCGGUGAAAUGCGUAGAUAUCUGGAGGAACACCGGUGGCGAAGGCGGCAUCCUGGACCAACACUGACACUGAGGAGCGAAAGCCAGGGGAGCAAACGGG